UAGUCCCGCCCGCGUCGCCCGCCAGCCCCGGGACAGCCCGCCUGGCGCGCGGGGCUCUGCGCGCUGCGACCCUCCCCGGCAGUCCCGCCCGCCUCUCCUCGCCCUCUCUCUGCCUGGCCUCCAACUUUGCCUCUCGCUAUCCUCUCCGCCGGCGCCCCCUUUCCCGGCGGUCCCCGGGAUGGUCCCCGGCACCCCGAGGACGCCGAGGUUACGGGAAGUUCGGGGACUGGCGGGAGAAGGGGUUUGGGGGUGGUCCGCGGCGAGGGGCGCGGGGUGCAUCUUCUCUUCCUUUUAUCUUUGAACACCGCCUCCCACCCCGCGGGAAGUGCGGGCUUGGUUUGUACCGCGGUGACCCCCGCCCCCUCCGAAGCCGCAGAGCCGGGGCCUCGCGCCAGCAGGGCUGGAGAUGCCUUCUUGGCGGCUGAGUUUAUUUAUUAUAGGAAGUCAUUCGCUCGUGGGGUAUUUAUGUGAUUUGGCGAGUGAUGUGCCCGGCCAGCGCCCUCCUUGGCUGCAGCCCCGCAGGAGGACCCGGAGUAGGGUGGGAUGGAGUGGGUCGUGGGAGGAGCGCGUCAGCGCCUGCCCGGGGACCCCCAGCUCCCGCGAGGACACGGAGGCGCGCACGCCGCUCGGUUUUCCUGGAAAGUGGAGAAGGAGCGUCCUGGGCAGGUCCUCUGAGCUCAUCCCCCCUCGGAUUGGGGCGGGUCUGUGACGGGGUCACUUAGGACACGACGUCCCCCCGCCAUUCCCUUCCCCCGCCCAGGGCGUUCGCGGUGGGCGCCCACCGCCAAGCCCCACUGUUCCCAAGGAUGCGCCAGGUGCUUCCCGUAGCGUCCUGGGUUGACCCUUAAAAAAACAGCACCCCUAGGAGGUGGCCGGCCCUCUCCUCCCAGGGUCUCUCCGGGUCACGAUCUUCCAAAGUUCGGAAACUCGCAGGAUCGCGUGUGCAAUCUCCCGCUACCUCCCGGGGGGCCGGGGAGAGGUCAGAGGAGCGAGUCCCGCGUCCACCGGCCUCGCUUGCCCCCUGCCCGUUUGAGGAUAGUUCCAGGGAGCAGGGUGGAGUGUGCGGACAUCUUUGGAGGCAGUGCUGGGGCUUCCCGCGUUGGCGGCGCUCCACCCGGCGUGGGGGGCGGCUGCACGGGCCCCCGCGGUGGGGACGCUGCGCACGGGGCAAGGUCUCCCUAGGAAGCGCCCGGGAAGGAGAUGGGGCCCGCCAGGAACCCCCCUCACUGACCAGCUUUCUGCACGCCGUGCAGGAGGGGGCCACUUCCUCGGAGAGUAUUGGCUUUUAAUUAAAACAAGCCCUACAAUUUUUACAUCGUAUCUUUUCUUAUUAUGUAAUAGUCAAUGGAAAUUAUAAGCACUGUGCGAGGUUUUCUGAAAUGGGAUUAGAGAAAACCCAAAUAAUCUCUUUAAGAUAAAAAAGUACUGAGUCUUUCAGCAACAGAAAGAAAUUAAACCAUAAGCUUAGCAUGUUACAAGCUAAUUGCAAGAGUAAACUGGUGGCAUAGGAAGAAAGCUCAUAAACAGAAGUAAAAUCGUGCUGGUGAAUGUUGAGAUAAAAAGUGGUUCAGGCUGUCGCAACGCCUUUCAGUAGCUGCUGCUUGAAUCACCUCUCUUGGUACAUUCGCUGAGUGGGUCAGCUCAUCACAGGCCUGCGGCCCCUGCAUGGGUGACAGAGGAGGCAAAGAUGACACAGAGAAACUAUCCCUUCAGGGACAGAGUGGGGACACCCACGAGCUUGGCUCUGCCUUACAAAGAAAUGAGAAGGAACCCCGUUCCUGCUUUUCACCUUAGGUGAGCUCUGAAUCUGCAGCCACUCACCAAACGCCUGAGCAGCCCCGCACCACAGUGAUGAUCUGGGGAGGAAAUGUUGAAAUGCAAUAUAAAUGGAGGGAGAGAGCACAAUAAGGAGAGGCACUGGAAUGUGACAUUUGUGGGGAGGAGUUUGGGGACAUGUCAGUGUCAGGCACACAGUAAUACAAGCUGAUAAUCAAGGCAAGCAAAUAAUCAAAAGGCUAACAAGAGCCGAGGCUGACUAAGGACACCAUUCCACUCCCCCAGGGGCUCAGCUGCCUACGCCUGGCCUCCUGCCUCUCCACGGAGAUGCAGGGCUGCCACACUUGUGUAUCCCUUCUUCCUUGAAUUUAACCAGGAGUGAGCAGUGGACAGCUUCUUCCCUAUGAGAAGGAGGUGAAGCAGGACCUGAAAUCCCGUGCUCAGCUCCCACAUGCCCCGUGUCCAGGACAAGUCCUUUGCUGAAUCAGCGGCAGACACCACCCGGAGCCCUGCGGGAGCCUUUCCCUGUUCUUCCAGCAUGGAUCUGAAACUCCCUUCCCACUUUCUGCAGCCUCCCAGAGAUAGUUCAGGCUCCAGCCUCAUGUGAUAGCAUGAAGAGAAACUGGUUCCAACAGCUGUGUGCUCUGCUGCCCUCAUCCCAAACAACAGUUUAAAUGCACAAUUACGCUUUUCUCUAAGGCCCAAAAUAGGAUAGGAAAGAUCGUUUUGCUAUCCCUGAAUGCCUGUCACCCUUGUUUCGUAAGGUAAGAUUGGGAAGGGCUUGGCCAUUGCCCUUGCAGCUGAGAAACCAACUUUAGGAAUAAAGACACUCUCUCCAUGUCUGCAGGAAGUCAGUCCCAGAAUAGUUGUUCUGCUCCCUCCCUUCUAAUAAGUGCUGCGCUGAGUGUGCUUGCUUUGCCAGAUGGUUAAAACAGAGCAGGGGAUAGAAGGACAGAUGUCUUCACCCUCAUGGAGUUCACCUUCCAGUAGGAGGAGGCGAUAGGCCGGGGUCUGCACAUGUGCGUGCUACAGCCUGUUCCACGGUGCGUGGCGUGCGGGGCAGUAGAGACAGGAUUUCACCAUGUUGGCUAGGAUGGUCUCGAUCUCCUGACCUUGUGAUCCGCCCCUCCCUCAGCCUCCCAAAGUGCUGGGAUUACAGGCGUGAGCCACUGCACCCUGCCAGAAAACUCAUUCUUCUACUCCAUCCUACAGUUUUCCCUAAGAGAGAAACAAUAAAACGCCACCACGACCAAUGGCAAAAAGCUGGCACCCACUCCACGACUUUUCAUAUCUACACGUUUGUACAGCUUUAUUUUUAAGCAUUCUGAAAUUCUAUGCAGGAGAGACCCCAGCUAGGUUUAGGGAGUCCUAGGGUUUGUGGAGUAAAUGAAGUUUCUCCCUAGAAUUAGGGAGGGUAGAGACAGGCAGAGAACUGACAAUCCUAACAGCUGCUGUCCUCAGAGCCACUGUUUCUGAGAGCUGCUCGCUGAGUGCUUCUAGCGAGUUAAAUGGUGUUCGCCCAAAAGACCUGUUCACGUCCUGAUCCUGGGAACCUGUGGCUGUGAUCUUAUUUGGAAAAAGCUCUACAUUACGUCUUUGCAGAAGUAAUCAUGUUAAGGAUCUUGAGAGGACGUGACCCUGAAUUAUCCGGCUGUGCUUGACAUCCAAUGACUGGUGAUGUUGUAAGAGAAAGACGGAGGGAGAUGUAAGAUAUGAGAGAAGGCCACGCCGAGACUGGAGUGAUGUGGCCGUGAGCCGAGGAAUGCCUGGAGCCACCAGAAGCUGGCAAAGGCAGAAGGAGCCUCCUCUGGACCCUGUGGUGGGUACGCAGCCUGGCAGAUAUAUUCAUUUUGGACUUCUGGCCUCCAGGGCUGUGAGAGAAUACAUUUCUGCAGUUUUAAGCCACGCAAUCUGUGUCCCUGGGAAGCCCAAAUAGGGCGAGACCUUUUGCCAAGUGGUCUCCAAGUGUCACGUCAUCGAAUCCUUCUCCCGGGCUUGUGCCAUAGUCUUUCCACUUUAGAGAGGAGGAAACGGAGGCUCUGGGGCACAAAGCCAGUCAGUGGCGGGGCCUGACUUUCAACCCAGCCUGCAUGGGGUCAGAGAACCCACUUUCCCCGUGGGGCCUGCGGCCUAUGCUAAGGAUGCUUGUUCAUCUCUCCUGGGCCCGGGAGUGGUUCUUCUGGCCUAGAAGGCAAGAGAAGCCAGUCUUUCGGUUUCAAGGUUUCCCAUUAGUGGAGUCAAGCAAAAAUGGUGUGUUGCGCUUCUUCCUGAGCUCAGCCUGGGAGCACGGCCUUAACAUGCUCAGUGGAUCCCAAGACGGCAGCAUGGCGGUGCCAGCCUGGCAGCCUUAGCUCCUUGCAGCUGUGCUUGUGAAGGGAGCAGUGAGUGGCUUCCCUCUGUGACCACCUUGGGUCCUAAGUUUCACUGGGGCUGGGAUCCAUGCGUCUUGCAAUUGGCUAGGAAUUUCCCGGGCUUUCCCUCCCUUCCCUGUUCAGGGCACUGGGUGUGAGGCAUUGCAUCCGUUCUUCUGCUCACCUGCUUCCCCCUAAGAGUGUGAGCUGUAUAAAGGCAGGAACCAAACAGGAGCCUCCACGUGUUCCCAGUUCAAGGGCAGUGUCCCUUGUGUGUUUCUUCAAUAAUUCAGUGGAUGACUUAUUCUGCACGGACACUGCACACACUCGGCCCUGCCGUCUCCGGAGCUGGGAGGUGUGGAGCUGGCUCCUGACCUAUUUACACACUGAGGAGGGAUGUGGAAAACAGGAGGAGUCCCAGGGCUCCAAUGCAAAGAGGAGCCUCUUCAUUCCCUCUGCCGUGGCCGUGCAAGGGACAGCGCCUUGUGGGAUUGUGUCCUCCACCCAAUUAUCCUUAGCAUUAGUUUGCUAAGGAUAAUGGCCUCCAGCUCCACCCAUGUCCCUGCAAAGGACAUGAUCUCAUUCCUUUCUGUGUCUGCAUAGUAUUCCAUGGUGUAUAUGUACCGCGUUUUCUUUAUCGAGUCUAUCAUUGAUGGGCGCUUCAGUUGAUUCCAUGUCUUUGCUACUGUGACUCGUGCUGCAAUGAGCAUUCGCGUGCAUGCCUUUAUGGUGGAAUUAUUUCUAUUCCUUUGGGUGCAUACCCAGUCAUGGGAUUGCUGGGUCAAAUGGCAUUUCUGCCUCUAGGUCUUUAAGGAAUUGCCACGCUGUCUUCCACAAUGCAAGCAAGACGUUAUUGAAAGUGUAAAGGGGGCUGCUAAUUACGCUGGGGCAGGCGGGGCAAACCAGGACCCUGCCAGGCGAGUCUAGGCCAUGGCCCCACACCAGAAGAUGAGGGCUGGAGACUCCUGGAGAGGAAUCUGAGUGGCGAGACCACCUGCAUUCAUUAUGUGUCAACUCUGCCAGGUGACAGUCCCCAGUGAGCCCAUCAAACAUGAACCUAGGUGCUGUUGGGAAGGUCUUUGGAUGCCAUUAACAUCUACAAUCAGUUGGUUUUCAGUAGAGGAGAUUAUCCUCAAGAAUGUGGGCGGGCCUCAUCCAGUGAGCUGAAAGGCCUUGAGAGCAGAACUAGGAUUUUGGAGGAGGAUGAAGUGUUGCCUCCGGACCGCAGCGUCACCUCUUGCCUGGGAAUUUCCAGCUUCCUUUUCAGACUUCGGACUUGCCUCCAAGCUCCCUGAAUCUUUUCAUAUAUUUAUGUCCUAUUGCAGAUUGUGUUUCUCUGGCUGGACUGUAACUGAUGAGGAGGACUGAAAUUCCAGGCUUGGUUGUAUAGCAUAUAAGUGAGGUCAUUUGGGUCUGGGGAGCUGGGGGGGGGGUCCUUCAGCUGCAUGAGUGUGACCUGCACCAAGGUGCCUGGCUACCUGGGGCGAGGGGGCUGCCAUCUAGCCCACACCCCACUCCUAGGCCGUGCACCCUGGCAUGGGUCUAUGUCUGGCUCAAGGAAGGGUUCCCUCCUCCCUCCAAUGUGCACAGAGACCUUGAGAUCCCAUCCACCUAACCCUGUGCCCUCAGAAGCCUCCUCUGAGAGGGGGCACCUUUUCCUAAUUCUCACAAAGGCUAGUGGCUACCUUGUAGAUAGCCUUGGAUGUGUUAGGACACUUUUCUGAACAUCAGUUCCUUAUCUGUAAGAUGGGAGUUGUGUCCUCAAUGGGUAAUUAGAGAUUAUUCAUGGGAAAUCCUAUCACGGUAUCUACCACGGGGAGACUCACAAGUGCUGAUCUUUGCUGGUGUUGCUGCAUUUGUUAUUGAAUGCAUUCGUUAGGAGUCUUGUUAGUAAGUGACAAAAAUCCAACUCAAAUUGGCUUACACUAAACAAGUUUCCUGCAUCUGGGAGUAUAAAGGGUGGCUACUGACGACUCUUGCUUACCAAAUGCAGGCGAAGCUGUUCAGAAGUA
rnacentral:lncRNA from 1 species